GGGAUAUUAGCUCAGUUGGUUCAGAGCACCGCCUUGACAGGGCGGGGGUCAGUGGUUCGAAUCCACUAUAUCCCACAA
rnacentral:tRNA from 1 species